AUGAACGCUGGCGGCGUGCCUCAUACAUGCAAGUCGAGCGAACAGACGAGGAGCUUGCUCCUCUGACGUUAGCGGCGGACGGGUGAGUAACACGUGGAUAACCUACCUAUAAGACUGGGAUAACUUCGGGAAACCGGAGCUAAUACCGGAUAAUAUAUUGAACCGCAUGGUUCAAUAGUGAAAGACGGUUUUGCUGUCACUUAUAGAUGGAUCCGCGCCGCAUUAGCUAGUUGGUAAGGUAACGGCUUACCAAGGCGACGAUGCGUAGCCGACCUGAGAGGGUGAUCGGCCACACUGGAACUGAGACACGGUCCAGAAUCCUACGGGAGGCAGCAGUAGGGAAUCUUCCGCAAUGGGCGAAAGCCUGACGGAGCAACGCCGCGUGAGUGAUGAAGGUCUUCGGAUCGUAAAACUCUGUUAUUAGGGAAGAACAAAUGUGUAAGUAACUAUGCACGUCUUGACGGUACCUAAUCAGAAAGCCACGGCUAACUACGUG
rnacentral:rRNA from 1 species